rnacentral:misc_RNA from 1 species
GUCUUCCGAUUCUAUUCUCGCGAGCCGACCCAUCGACGAUACGAUAGGAGGGCGCGGCGGGGCCGCGAACGCACCCGCCGGCAUCCUCCGCAUCCGAAAGCACGCUCUGGCGCCGAGGUCCGCGUGCCCCCCCACCCCAGCGGGGGGCAACGGCGCACGGCRACAGUCCGAAUGCCCGCCGCACAACUAUAUCCCCGGAGGAGCCCGGGGGCUUCCUUCCUGGGCAUGGGCGGCCGGGUGCAAAACUCAACCAACUAGUGCCAGUACCCCGAAACCUGCACAGGGUAGGAAGCACAGGCAACGCAUACUCGGACCGCGAGGCAGGAGCUCGAGCCCGGACCUCCGGCCAACAAUGCAAAGGCUAAGUCCCGUGACGGUUGGCUGCAKGAA